GACGAACCGUCCGAACGUUAUUCGGAAUCACUGGGCUUAAAGGGUGCGUAGGCGGCGCGGAAAGUUGGGUGUGAAAUCCCUCGGCUCAACCGAGGAACUGCGCCCAAAACUACCGUGCUCGAGGGAGAUAGAGGUGAGCGGAACUUAGGGUGGAGCGGUGAAAUGCGUUGAUAUCCUAAGGAACACCGGUGGCGAAAGCGGCUCACUGGAUCUCUUCUGACGCUG
rnacentral:rRNA from 1 species